ACCCUACGGGGGGCAGCAGUAGGGAAUCUUCCACAAUGGGCGCAAGCCUGAUGGAGCAACACCGCGUGAGUGAAGAAGGGUUUCGGCUCGUAAAGCUCUGUUGUUGGAGAAGAAUGUGCGCGAGAGUAACUGUUCACGCAGUGACGGUAUCCAACCAGAAAGUCACGGCUAACUACGUGCCAGCAGCCGCGGUAAUACGGAGGUGGCAAGCGUUAUCCGGAUUUAUUGGGCGUAAAGCGAGCGCAGGCGGUUGCUUUGGUCUGGUGUGGAAGACUUCGGCUUAACCGAAG
rnacentral:rRNA from 1 species